GGGUCAGAAGGCUGGACGUGCCACCGGUACGUACUGGUCUCACUGAUUCUUCCUUCCUGAAGAACCGUAAUGCCAUUAAUUUGGUGUUGCGGGGAAACAGGACUGUUACUUUGAAAAAAUUAGAGUGUUUAAAGCAAGCUAACGCUUGAAUACAUUAGCAUGGAAUAAUGAAAUAGGACGAUCGAUCCUAUUUUGUUGGUUUCUAGGAUUGACGUA
rnacentral:rRNA from 1 species